rnacentral:rRNA from 1 species
GAGAAUAUUUUAACUCUUAAACGGCCACGUAUAAACCCGUGCAAAGGUAGCAAAAUCAUUUGUCCUCCAAAUAGGGACCCGUAUGAAUGGCAACAUGAGAAAGAAACUGUCUCUUUAGGACAUCUAUGAACCUGAUCUGCCUGUAAAAAAGCAAGCAUAAUAAAGCAAGACAAAAAGACCCUGUGAAACUUCAAACGCCCAUCAAUUGUAUGAUCAAGGCCUUUUCGGUUGGGGCAACCAAGAGAACUAUAAACCUCUUAACAAGUUACAAGACAAACAAGUCAAAUAACUACACUAAAGAUCCAGUCUGAUCAAAGAAAAAAGCUACUCCAGGGAUAACAGCGCCACAUUCUUGAAGAGUCCAUAUCAACAAGAAUACCUACGACCUCGAUGUUGGAUUAGGAUAUCCUGAUGGCGCAAAAGCUAUCAAGGGUUCGUUUGUUCAACGAUUAAAAUCCCACAUGAUC